AUUUAUUAUUAAAUUAUUAGCAACCAACACAAUAUGGCUCCAAAGAUGAUGGUUCCUCUUCUCCUUUUGUUGGUUUUUGCAAGUAUAUUAAUACAUGAAGUGGAACCAAGGAAUGUAGUGUAUGUGCAUUGUGGCAAUAACAAUGAUUGUGACUUUAUGUGUAAAGAUCCAAAUUAUAAGUUUGAACCUCUUUGCUAUAAACGUUUUUGUGUUUGUGACAAACGUUUAUUCUGCAAAAAUACAUUUACUUGUAAAUUUCAAGGAAUUACAUGUAAUGAUCCUAGUAAAACUCCCAAAUGUAUUCAUUACACUUGUCAAUGUCCUGCCCCUUGGUGAAAAAAAUAAAUAAACAUAUUGUGACCCUCAAUAAUUCACAAAAUAUAUACAUAAUAUAAUAUAA